ACAGAACAACAGAUAUGAGCAGCUGUUGACACCGCCAACAACUAGGGGGCAGCAGAAGCGCCAGAGUGAGUGAUUGACGUUUGAAUGAGAGAGAGUAGACGGAGACGGAGUGUAAACAAAACUAGAUAGCAAAUAUGGAGAAGGAACGUUAUGUUUAAUCACUUAAAGAAACACCCUUUUGAGACGAGGACACUGGAGGGAAAGCUGAGAGUAAAAGAGCUCGGACCUGAUCAGCCUGACAUAGGCAGGGCAGGAGUUGUACAGAGGAAGGCAGUACACGCUCUUUUUCAAGGAGCUGGUUUAGCAAGAAGGCUAACUACCUGCAGCAACACCAGUGCUAUAUGUUAUGUUCCCCUGCCUCCCUUUUUCAAACGUCAGGAUCAGACCAGUCUAUGGACCAGACCCAGCAUGGAUCCAGACAGAUAAACCCAAGAGAUUGAGGACUCAACAUCAAAUCCUCCAAAACGAAUCAGAGUUCCAAGGAUCCAAGAAGAUGUAGUUGAUGUUGAUCAUUGUGAAGGGGAAUCCACAGAAAUGGAUGCUCUCAAAAAGAAAUCGGUAUGUUUUUCUUAUUUUUAAGGAAAAUGUUCUGAAAAAUGCAUCUUCUGCUUCUUCCUCUUCUUCUUCUUCCUGGUGCAUGCUGGGAGAUUUUCGGAGGGUGAAAGAAAGAGAAGACUGGUUGUGGACUUGAAGGGAACGACUUCCUGGCCUUCCUGACAUCCAGGAAAAAGAGGCAGUAGAGAUGUACUGGAAACAGUGGAGAGGGAGAAGAUGCAGCAAAAGGCCCAGCCGGAUGGUUGCUGCUCCGUGUGGAACGUGUUCUCCAGUAUCAGAAAGGAUCAUGCCAGCCCACAUCAAACACCUGAUCAAGAACUUGAGAAUCUUCAGGCAGAAAAGAUGAAAACACCUGUUCAAAGUUCCAGUUCCCUGUACAUCAAACGAUGCCUGUCCUCUGUUCCACAUGUCUUCAGUCAGUCCUGGACCCUAUGACUAGGACACUAGUUCUACCAAGGCUUAAUAGAGAUAAUACAGCUGCACAAUUACAACAGGAACUAAUCUUUAGACGGUUAAUACAGAAGAUCUGCUAAAUUGGAGGAUUCCAAAGCUGAGCUGGAAGGGGAAGUCUCCACCUACAGGACAGCACAUCUAAACAUUCAUUUGGAUAAACUAUUAAACCAGGUAUUUUCACAAAAAGAACAAUCUGAGACCCAGUGUGAGCCUGCACCCUGGACACCCACACACCCCAAUAAUCCCCCUUCAAAGAGCGAGCCGCAUGGGAAGAUUGUUGUCAUUCACUUGCAAGGGGAGAUUCCAGUGCGUCCAGAGGUCUGGGCAAAAAUAAAAAACAACACAAGGGACUCCAUGUUCGUGAAGGAGUUGGCUGUGGCGUUUUGGGGCACCGACACCUUAGGGGAAAGGAGCCUGACUGGAAAGGAAUGCCCCACCACCAAGACCACCAGGCAGCCCCUCACCCUGCAGAAGCUAUGGGGUUUGAAAGUGGAGGAUCCUCCGGGUGCAGCCUGUCAACGCAGCCAUAGAAAGCAUGAAGCUCUCUCCUCUCUGCGUCAUCGAUAGGAAAGCCUGAUCGGGCCAAUCCAAUGAUUAAGGGACAUCUGCUGUUUUGCUUCACCGGAGAAAGUGUAUUUAUCCGCACAACUGCUGUUGGUCCUGCCUAAAUGUUUGGGCUACUGCUGCUAUAUUGCUGCUUCUGAUUGCUGCUUCUGGCCAGCUUUGCGUCGCCUACUGCGGAGGCUCGCUCACCAGUUAAAGUGCUGCUUUAACUGAACGCCUUCCUGCUGCCUUGCUUGGGCCGACACUCGAAGUGUGGAAGUCAUUGAACUCUGGGGCUAACUCCCCCCUAUAACUUGUCCUUACUUUGGCCAACUUGAUUUAAAUUAGUUUGUUUAUUUUAUUCUAGUUAAUUGUUUAUUUUGUUUAACUGAACCUUUUCUCUUGUGAUUUGUUUUAUUCUUAAAUGUUUACACAAGUUAUCUGUUUAUGAGAACAUAUUUGCUAUUGUGUUUAUUACUUUGAUUUACUUAUUUAGCCCCCAUUAACUGCAUUUCCCUCUUUGUUCCCCUACUUAGUUACUGAGAGCUGAAGGUGGUGGUGCUGGUGUCCAAGGUGGUGGUUUUCCUCUCUCCUUUUGUGUGUGAUGUGCUCCCCCGGGAUUUGAUUUCCUGCACGUAUGACUGGGGUGAUUUAAGUUUGGUUUGUUUGGGGAUCCUUCCACUCACUCGUCGACCCUAUCCCCCCACUGGUAAGCCUCAGCCCCUAAUUCAUUUGUUCCCUUUGUGCUACAGCCCUGUGCGACUGUUUUAAACUGCAUUUUAAACUAUUGACUUGUGCUAAA